AUGCCCAUUGGUGUUCCAAAAGUACCUUACCGGAUUCCUGGAGAUGAAGAAGCGACUUGGGUUGACUUAUACAAUGUUAUGUAUCGAGAAAGGACACUUUUUUUAGGUCAAGAGAUUCGUUGCGAGAUCACGAAUCAUAUUGCAGGUCUCAUGGUAUAUCUGAGUAUAGAAGAUGGAAUUAGUGAUAUUUUUUUGUUUAUAAACUCCCCAGGCGGGUGGCCAAUCUCAGGAAUGGCUAUUUUUGAUACGAUGCAAACGGUGACACCAGAUAUAUAUACAAUAUGCCUCGGAAUAGCCGCCUCCAUGGCGUCCUUCAUUCUGCUUGGAGGAGAACCCACCAAGCGUAUAGCAUUCCCUCACGCGAGGAUUAUGCUUCACCAACCUGCUAGUGCUUAUUAUCGGGCAAGGACACCAAAAUUUUUACUAGAAGUAGAAGAGUUACACAAAGUUCGCGAAAUGAUCACAAGGGUUUAUGCAGUAAGAACAGGCAAGCCUUUUUGGGUUGUAUCCGAAGACAUGGAAAGGGAUGUUUUUAUGUCAGCAGACGAAGCCAAAGCUUAUGGACUUGUCGAUAUUGUAGGGGAUGAAAUGAUUGACAAGCACUGCGAUACUGAUCCAGUGUGGUUUCCAGAAAUGUUUAAGGAUUGGUAG
rnacentral:rRNA from 1 species